UACGUAGGGGGCGAGCGUUGUCCGGAUUCAUUGGGCGUAAAGGGCGCGUAGGCGGUUUCUUAAGUUUGAAGUGACAGUGGGUGGCUUAACUACCCAAGGCCUUUGAAAACUGGGGAACUUGAGGACCAGAGAGGGACAUAGAAUUCCGGGUGGAGUGGUGAAAUGCGUAGAUAUCCGGAGGAAUACCAAAGGCGAAGGCAGUGUCCUGGAGGGUGACUGACGCUGAGGCGCGAAAGCUAGGGGAGCGAACAGG
rnacentral:rRNA from 1 species